rnacentral:rRNA from 1 species
AUUGAACGCUGGCGGCAGGCCUAACACAUGCAAGUCGAGCGAGCGGCGGACGGGUGAGUAAUGUCUGGGAAACUGCCUGAUGGAGGGGGAUAACUACUGGAAACGGUAGCUAAUACCGCAUACCAUCAGAUGUGACAAGAUGGGAUUGGAUAGUGGGUGGGGUAACGGCCCACCUAGGCGACGAUCCCUAGCUGGUCUGAGAGGAUGACCAGCCACACUGGAACUGAGCCACGGUCCAGCCUCCUACGGGAGUCAGCAUGGGGGAAUAUUGCACAAGGGGCGCAAGCCUGAUGCAGCCAGGCCGCGUGUGUGAAGAAGGCCUUCGGGUUGUAAAGCACUUUCAGCGGGGAGGCGUUACCCGCAGAAGAAGCACCGGCUAACUCCGUGCCAGCAGCCGCGGUAAAC